GAUGAAGAACGUAGCGAAAUGCGAUAAGUAAUGCGAAUUGCAGAAUUCAGUGAGUCAUCGAAUCUUUGAACGCACAUUGCGCCCCCUGGUAUUCCGGGGGGCAUGCCUGUCCGAGCGUCAUUACAACCCUCAAGCUCAGCUUGGUGUUGGGCCCCGCCGCCCCGGCGGGCCCUAAAGUCAGUGGCGGUGCCGUCCGGCUCCGAGCGUAGUAAUUCUUCUCGCUCUGGAGGUCCGGUCGUGUGCUCGCCAGCAACCCCCAAUUUUUUUCAGGUUGACCUCGGAUCAGGUAGGGAUACCCGCUGAACUUAAGCAUAUCAAUAAGCGGAGG
rnacentral:misc_RNA from 1 species